AGAAAGUGCAGUCCCACUGUGCGUCUGUACAGAGCAGGCAUAAUGGGAAAAUGGCAAUAUGAUAAUUGGCCUGUGGUGGACUAGAGCGAGAGCUGCUGGAGGAACCGGUCACCCCUGCUCCCCAGCCCUUCAGAUCCAGGAGCGCAUGCCCUAGGAGAGGCUGAAGGCAGAAGAUCAUAGUGGUUACAAGCACAUCAUACUGGAGUCAGACUGCUCCACCUUGAAUUCUGGCCCCGAGUCUAAAGAGCUGUGUGGCUUUGGCACAGGAGUGGUGAUGCUGGCCAUCCUGACACAUUCAUAUGUUCCAAAUAGAAGCCAUAAUUGAAAAGGAUAUUUUUCAAAUUUUUGGCUAGAUUUAAAAAAUGCCAUUCAGAAGACUUUGCAUGACAUCUUAGUCUGUGCUUAAAAUCUGAGAUUCAAAGACAUGUCUAGACCACACACUUUUCAGACUCAGAAGGUACUUAGUACCAAAGAAAAACUAUCAAUAAGAACCACUGGACAUUUAACACACAGCUCUGGACUAUAGGCCAGGUGCUGAAGAUAUGGUGAAGUCAAUAUGGAAGGAAAAUCAAACAUCGUCUGUCCUGGAGAAAUUCAAUUUUGAUUGCCUAA